CACCACUGCCUGACCUCGAUGUCUAAUCUAGUGGCUGGCUCUGUCCUCUGAUCCUCUGGCAAGCUUUAUUGAGGUACACAAUAUAUCACCACAGAGACCACAUAAAGUAAAGUCUUUCUGGUUAUGAUUUUGAUGUUUUUGCAAAGAAGUGUGUGUAAAGGCAUAUGUAGAAGUUGGAUUUAAAUAAUAAUGACUAGUAAAGAUUAUUUAUUGAAUAUUUGUAUGGUGCUCACUAAGUGCUUUAUCUUUGUUAUCUCAUUGGUUACUUAAGUCCCACACAAAAUACUUUCGAAAUGAGCGGCUUGAGUCAGAACAGUUCAGAAACUUUACAAGGACAAGACAAUAAGGACAAGGCAUUGCCAAUAUGAUUCUGUUAUCCCAAAUGUCUUCUGCCCGACACCAGACAUACCCUUGUUGAUUUACAUGAAAUCAAGACCGCAUGUGAGUUACCUUCCAGAUGCUCCUGGUGCAUGUCCCAUCGCCUUCCUUGUGUUUUGUGCUCCCACAAAAUUGCAUGCCUGUGUGUUUCCUUUGCAUACCUGUGGCUUCUCACCUCUGUGUAUUUGCCAAGGAGUCUUUUUGUUGGACAUGAUUUAGGCACAUCCUCCUCUGGAAGUUCUCUGAACGUUGUAGGUCUCACCAAAUACAGUAGGUUCAUUUCACAUGAGGACCUCCAUCAUGCUUUCCUUGCUCUACCAUGUAUCAAUUUUUACACAGAGAACACAUGGAACAACUGAUACCUCCAGUUGCCAGCAUGUUAUUAAUGUGGAAAUCCAAUAAAGUUUCUCAACACUGUAUCAUAAAA